UGUUAAUUUUAUAUUUCUAUACUUCCUGCCAUGACCAAGAUAUGGCAGGUGUUCAGUAACAGUUGAACUAAAUCAACUGUUGAAAAUUGGUGAAGUAUAUGCAAAGGAAAUUAAAUCAUCUCAUCAAAAAGGUAUAUGCAUUCUUAUGCUUACUGCAGCAGUGUGCAUCAUAGUCAAAAUGUGAAAUCAACCAAGAUAUCUGUUAACAGAUGGGUAAAGAAUGGAUAAAGAAAAUGUGGUAUUCAUACACAAAUGGAAUAUUAUUCAACCAUAACAAGGAAUGAAAUCUUGUCAUUUGCAGCAAAAUGGAUGGACUUGGGUGACAUGAUAGUAAAUAAAAUAAGACAGAUACAGAAAGACAAAUACUACAAGUUCACAUUUAAAAGGUAAUUUGAAAAUAGAAUGGAAAUUACUGGAGGCUGGGGAAGACAUGGAGAGGUGGGUAGAAGGAGUUUGGAUAACAAGAACCCAAACACAGUUAGGUAGAAGGACAACUCUAGUGUUCUGCAGCAUAGUAGGUUGACUAUAGUUCACAGAAACCAAAAAUAUAUUUUAAGAAGAACUAGGAGAAAUGGCAGCCCAAAGUCUUCCAACGUAAUGAAAUGAUAAGGUGGUGGAAAUCCAAGUAUCCUGAUUUGAUCAGUAUACAUGAUCAGUAUACAUGAUUUGAUACUGUAUACAUGUACUGAAAUAACCUACUGUACCUUAUAAAUAUGUACAAUUAUUACCUGUUGAUUAACAGAAAAAAAUUAAAUUAAAAAAAAAGAAUUAGCAGAAAUCUAAUUUUGUACACUUUGCCUGAAAAGCAAGAACAUGGUCUCUGGAGCCAAGCAUGCCUCAGUUCAAAAUCUGUCUCUACUGUUUACCUGCCCUAAGCCGGGGCAGUGUAACCACAGUUCAUCUGCUGGUCCUCGUAGAACACCACAGAUAGCACAGGCUGGUGACUCAGCACAGUGGAAAGGAGGCUGUGAUUAUGAGGCCCUCAAAUGAAACCUUGACCAUCAUCAUCAUUGGAAAAUGAGUUUUCACCUAGGAAUCCCACUCAAUUCCUCUCUGCGAUUCUGUUAGUUCAUGUUUAUUUCUAAAAACUUCAUUCAAUUUCAUGCUUUAGGUAAAGUAGGGAACCUACCAGUUUUUUUCUGAUGUUGGAUGAAUCCUGAAGUAGUUGUUUUUUUCUAAAUAUCGGGUGGAAUUACUGGGUAUAUGCUAAUAUAAAAAUAUAAGAAACUGGCUAAAUGGAUAUUGGACCCAACACAUUCUGAGAAAUAUUUUAUUGCUGAUUUUUCAAAAGCCAUGAUAUAAAUUUGUUUCCUUAGGAGUACCUGACUUCUUUCUCCUAAAAAACUGCAGAAAAUGUUUAAAUAGGUCAUCCUAUUGGUUAAUGUGGUAACCAUAGUCAACACACCUGCCUGACACACAGCACUUGGGAAUGUGGCACUGGAAACCAGGCUUCCACCUGCCCAGGUGUCUAAGAAGAAACAGAGAAGGUGGGUGGCACAGGCAUCAGCCACCGCCACAAAUCACUGGGCAAUCCCCAAAGACAUGAACUGUGGAGAGGACUGUCAUCACACACUGGCCUUCUCAGUGACAGCACACUCGGGUGCACACAGGGCGCUUUGUGGGCCAUCCAGGGAGCAUCCUUGAAUCACCAAGGACAGAAUGCUGGCAGAGGGAGUCAGCAAGCAACUACUGCAUCCAUGAGCUGGGCUGGGAGGAUGAAAGGCUCAGCGGCAGCUGAGAGGGAAAAGGUCCUGCUGCAGAGCCCUCAGGAAAGCUUCACCACCUUGUCACUUUCAGAAAGCUCUGCCAAUGCUAGUGAGGAAUGUGUGCUCGCCCCAGAGUCCCUCACUACUUGACAUAGAGUUGCUGAUUUCACUGUCAUCAGAGACCUGAUGAACUACAACACCCAAUCUUGCUCAGCAUCAACAAGAACAACGGACAUCCUGGGAGGCCUGGGAGGCUGGAUUUCUGAUGGGGGAAUCUAAAAUACUUCUUGUACCAUGGAACAUUAGUGAUGUUUUGAAAUCAAAGAAUGAAGACAUUUCUCCAGCUCAGAGUAUUAAGGAUGCUUCUUGUGAUUUGGAAUGAGCAGGCCUGAUGACUUCUGGGCUCUUCCCUCCUAGCUUCAUUACAAUUCCCUGGAAAAGACCUGGCCUAGGGCCCUGUGUGUCUUUGCUCCAGCAGCCCAACACUAGGAAGCAGAGCUUUAAGACAUGGGACUACAGGAAAGCUCUGGAAACCCAGGAGAACCUUCUGUCUCCACUGAGAAAGGCCCCGAAGAAAGCCCAGCUUCCUGGCCACACCUCACUUGGUGCUGGAGUCACCAAAGUCUCUCUUCCUGCCCCACGGUGCCUUCCCUGACACCAGGCUGUCUCCACACCUAUGACCCCCAGGCCUGCCUGUCAUCAUGUGAGCUGGGGAAAGCCACGUUGCCACCCAUUUUUUUGGAUUGUUUCCUAAUGUUCAUGAUUCCUGGCCACUGAGAAGUGCUUCUGGGGACUGGACUUGCAGAGGGGCAGAAGAGGGAGGAGAGGAAAGUGAUAUGGAGAUUGCUGACAGAGUGGAAAGGCAGUGGGAGUUCACCUUCCUUCCCUCCGCUCUCCAGGCCCCGGCACCAGGGUCAGCAGUUCAUGCAGAAGAUAUCAGGAUUCUUUGGAGCAAUUUAUGCUCCCAAAUCCGCACUGACAGCCCAGGCCAAAUUGCCUUCCUAUGUGAAGGUCAUUUGCUCUGUCAAGCACUUGACAAUUGCUCAAAGGGAAAUGAGGGAAUUGUUUUGUAUAAAUGAGUCAACUUCUCUUGAAUUCACACCACUUGCGAUGGACCAUGCCAUGACAGUCAGACUCGGUGCUGAGACCCACACCCGGCACACACCCAGCUGCCUUGAAGGGACAAGAUUAUUGCUGAGCUUUCAGUCUUACAAAGGUGAGAAAGAAACCAGACAACAGCUCAAUGGCUGCAUAUUUGGACCUAAAGCUGUGUGAAUCUGCUCUGGAAGGCACUACAUCCUGCACUGCAGCUGCAAUUGGAGCAGGGAGACAGCGGGUGUGGUGAAAGGUGCGUCUGGAAAUGCAGAACUCCUGAGGAUGUGGAGCAUGUGGCCUCACAAAAGCAGAACUUCCUGCAUCACGGUCUCUUUCCAAGGUUUAGCAAUUACGAAUUGUGCUGCUAUAAACACAGGUCCCCAUGAGGCACUUGAGAUGCUCUGACACCAGGUGAAGGACUUGUUCCCCUGCUACUGCAGUGCAGCCUGCAGAGCCCCAGCUCUUGGCUACCAGAGGCCUCCCCUCCUUCCUGGAGAAGGCAGCAGCCAGUGGCUCACUGAUAUGGAAGACUAAGGGCUAGAUCACUUCACCACCUCUGGGACAACACAGAGAAUGAGUCAAGGACCAUGGAGGCUACAUUGCAGCUCCAUGCCACUUCCUCCUUCCUCUCCUUUCCUUCUCUUCCUAUCCAUCCCCAGGUGAUGACCA
rnacentral:lncRNA from 1 species